GGUUGCGAUCAUACCAACACUAAUGCACUAGAUCCCAUCAGAACUCCGCAGUUAAGCGUGCUUGGGCGAGAGUAGUACUAGGAUGGGUGACCCCCUGGGAAGUCCUCGUGUUGCAACCCC
rnacentral:rRNA from 1 species